UACAGAGGUCUCAAGCGUUGUUCGGAUUCAUUGGGCGUAAAGGGUGCGUAGGUGGCGCCGUAAGUCGGGUGUGAAAUUUCGGAGCUUAACUCCGAAACUGCAUUCGAUACUGCGGUGCUUGAGGACUGGAGAGGAGACUGGAAUUCAUGGUGUAGCAGUGAAAUGCGUAGAGAUCAUGAGGAAGACCAGUGGCGAAGGCGGGUCUCUGGACAGUUCCUGACACUGAGGCACGAAAGCGUGGGGAGCAAACAGG
rnacentral:rRNA from 1 species